rnacentral:rRNA from 1 species
UACGAAGGGGGCUAGCGUUGCUCGGAACGACUGGGCGUAAAGGGCGCGUAGGCGGCUUGCACCGUCAGAUGUGAAAUUCCUGGGCUUAACCUGGGGGCUGCAUUUGAUACGUGUGGGCUUGAGUGCGGAAGAGGGUCGUGGAAUUCCCAGUGUAGAGGUGAAAUUCGUAGAUAUUAGGAAGAACACCGGUGGCGAAGGCGGCCCACUGGAUCGGUACUGACGCUGAGGUGCGAAAGCGUGGGGAGCAAACAGG